rnacentral:rRNA from 1 species
UACGUAGGGUGCAAGCGUUGUCCGGAAUUAUUGGGCGUAAAGAGCUUGUAGGCGGUUUGUCGCGUCUGCUGUGAAAUUUCGGGGCUCAACCCCGAACUUGCAGUGGGUACGGGCAAACUAGAGUGUGGUAGGGGAGACUGGAAUUCCUGGUGUAGCGGUGAAAUGCGCAGAUAUCAGGAGGAACACCGAUGGCGAAGGCAGGUCUCUGGGCCUCUACUGACGCUGAGAAGCGAAAGCAUGGGGAGCGAACAGG